GGGGUUGUGGCUCAGAGGUAGAGCACUCACUAGCAUGUGUGAGGCACUGGGUUCGAUCCUCAGCAGCACCA
rnacentral:tRNA from 1 species